GGGCGCGUGGCUCAGUCAGGCAGAGCGGUGGACUCUUAAUCCAUCGGUCGGGGGUUCAAUGAACCCGAGUUGUGGCUUGGGCUCGAACAUAUCCCCCCGCGCCUACCA
rnacentral:tRNA from 1 species